rnacentral:rRNA from 1 species
CCUACGGGUGGCAGCAGUGGGGAAUAUUGCACAAUGGGGGAAACCCUGAUGCAGCGACGCCGCGUGAGUGUAGAAGUAUUUCGGUCUGUAAAGCUCUAUCAGCCGGGAAGAAAUAUUGUCCUUUCGGUCAGCACACGGUACCCGACUAAGAAGCCACGGCUAACUACGUGCCAGCAGCCGCGGUAAUACGUAGGGGGCAAGCGUUUUCCGGAUUUACUGGGUGUAAAGGGAGCGUAGACGGUAGCGCAAGUUUGAGGGGAAACCCCAUGGCCUAACCAGGGAACUGCUUUUGAAACUGUGCAGCUGGAGUGCAGGAGAGGUAAGCGGAAUGCGUGGUGUAGCGGUGAAAUGCGUAGAUAUUAGGAGGAACACCGGCGGCGAAGGCAGCCUGCUAGACUGAAACUGACGUUGAGGCUCGAAAGCGUGGGGAGCAAACAGGAUUAGAUACCCUGGUAGUC